rnacentral:rRNA from 1 species
UACGGGGGGGGCAAGCGUUGUUCGGAAUUACUGGGCGUAAAGCGCACGCAGGCGGUCUUUUAAGUUUGACGUGAAAGCCCCCGGCUCAACUGGGGAGGGUCACGCGAUACUGAUCGACUCGAAGGCAGGAGAGGGUAGUGGAAUUCCCGGUGUAGUGGUGAAAUGCGUAGAUAUCGGGAGGAACACCAGUGGCGAAGGCGACUACCUGGCCUGUUCUUGACGCUGAGGCGCGAAAGCUAGGGGAGCAAACGGG